rnacentral:rRNA from 1 species
UACGUAGGUGGCAAGCGUUGUCCGGAUUUAUUGGGUUUAAAGGGUGCGUAGGCGGCCCUGUAAGUCAGUGCUGAAAUAUCCCAGCUUAACUGGGAGGGUGGCAUUGAUACUGCGGGGCUAGAGUACAGAUGAGGUAGGCGGAAUUGACGGUGUAGCGGUGAAAUGCUUAGAUAUCGUCAAGAACACCUAUAGCGAAGGCAGCUUACUAGGCUGUAACUGACGCUGAGGCACGAAGGUGUGGGGAUCAAACAGG